CGAACGCUGGCGGCGUGGAUAAGACAUGCAAGUCGAACGGGAGAAUUGCUAGCUUGCUAAUAAUUCUCUAGUGGCGCACGGGUGAGUAACACGUGAGUAACCUGCCUCUUAGUGGGGGAUAGCCCUGGGAAACCGGGAUUAAUACCGCAUACGAUUGAAAGAUCAAAGCAGCAAUGCGCUAGGAGAUGGGCUCGCGGCCUAUUAGUUAGUUGGUGAGGUAACGGCUCACCAAGGCGAUGACGGGUAGCCGGUCUGAGAGGAUGUCCGGCCACACUGGAACUGAGACACGGUCCAGACACCUACGGGUGGCAGCAGUCGAGAAUCAUUCACAAUGGGGGCAACCCUGAUGGUGCGACGCCGCGUGGGGGAAUGAAGGUCUUCGGAUUGUAAACCCCUGUCAUGUGGGAGCAAAUUAAAAAGAUAGUACCACAAGAGGAAGAGACGGCUAACUCUGUGCCAGCAGCCGCGGUAAUACAGAGGUCUCAAGCGUUGUUCGGAAUCACUGGGCGUAAAGCGUGCGUAGGCUGUUUCGUAAGUCGUGUGUGAAAGGCAGGGGCUCAACCCCUGGAUUGCACAUGAUACUGCGAGACUAGAGUAAUGGAGGGGGAACCGGAAUUCUCGGUGUAGCAGUGAAAUGCGUAGAUAUCGAGAGGAACACUCGUGGCGAAGGCGGGUUCCUGGACAUUAACUGACGCUGAGGCACGAAGGCCAGGGGAGCGAAAGGGAUUAGAUACCCCUGUAGUCCUGGCAGUAAACGGUGCACGCUUGGUGUGCGGGGAAUCGACCCCCUGCGUGCCGGAGCUAACGCGUUAAGCGUGCCGCCUGGGGAGUACGGUCGCAAGAUUAAAACUCAAAGAAAUUGACGGGGACCCGCACAAGCGGUGGAGUAUGUGGCUUAAUUCGAUGCAACGCGAAGAACCUUACCUGGGCUUGACAUGUAAUGAACAACAUGUGAAAGCAUGCGACUCUUCGGAGGCGUUACACAGGUGCUGCAUGGCCGUCGUCAGCUCGUGUCGUGAGAUGUUUGGUUAAGUCCAGCAACGAGCGCAACCCCUGUUGCCAGUUACCAUCGAGUAAUGUCGGGGACUCUGGCGAGACUGCCCAGAUCAACUGGGAGGAAGGUGGGGACGACGUCAGGUCAGUAUGGCCCUUAUGCCCAGGGCUGCACACGUACUACAAUGCCCAGUACAGAGGGGGCCGAAGCCGCGAGGCGGAGGAAAUCCUGAAAACUGGGCCCAGUUCGGACUGUAGGCUGCAACCCGCCUACACGAAGCCGGAAUCGCUAGUAAUGGCGCAUCAGCUACGGCGCCGUGAAUACGUUCCCGGGUCUUGUACACACCGCCCGUCACAUCAUGGAAGCCGGUCGCACCCGAAGUAUCUGAAGCCAACCGCAAGGAGGCAGGGUCCUAAGGUGAGACUGGUAACUGGGAUGA
rnacentral:rRNA from 1 species